rnacentral:misc_RNA from 1 species
GAUGAAGAACGCAGCGAAAUGCGAUACGUAGUGUGAAUUGCAGAAUUCAGUGAACCAUCGAAUCUUUGAACGCACAUUGCGCCCGGCAGUAAUCUGCCGGGCAUGCCUGUCCGAGCGUCAUUUCUGCCCUCGAGCGAGUCCAGCAUCUAGGUGCUGGGCCCGCCCGGCGUUGGGGCACUACGGGAAGCCCUGUGCUGUCCCCCGUAGGCCCCGAAAUGAAGUGGCGGUCCUGCCGCGGCGCCCCCUGCGUAGUAUAACAGCUCGCUUCGGGACCCGGUGGAGGCCUGCCGUCAAACCUUACUCUCUAAGUUUGACCUCGGAUCAGGUAGGGUUACCCGCUGAACUUAAGCAUAUCAAUAAGCGGAGGA